rnacentral:rRNA from 1 species
AAUAUAUUGAACCGCAUGGUUCAAUAGUGAAAGACGGUUUUGCUGUCACUUAUAGAUGGAUUCCGCGCCGCAUUAGCUAGUUGGUAAGGUAACGGCUUACCAAGGCAACGAUGCGUAGCCGACCUGAGAGGGUGAUCGGCCACACUGGAACUGAGACACGGUCCAGACUCCUACGGGAGGCAGCAGUAGGGAAUCUUCCGCAAUGGGCGAAAGCCUGACGGAGCAACGCCGCGUGAGUGAUGAAGGUCUUCGGAUCGUAAAACUCUGUUAUUAGGGAAGAACAAAUGUGUAAGUAACUAUGCACGUCUUGACGGUACCUAAUCAGAAAGCCACGGCUAACUACGUGCCAGCAGCCGCGGUAAUACGUAGGUGGCAAGCGUUAUCCGGAAUUAUUGGGCGUAAAGCGCGCGUAGGCGGAUUUUUAAGUCUGAUGUGAAAGCCCACGGCUCAACCGUGGAGGGUCAUUGGAAACUGGAAAACUUGAGUGCAGAAGAGGAAAGUGGAA